rnacentral:rRNA from 1 species
UCGGGAAUUUUGGGCAAUGGGCGAAAGCCUGACCCAGCAACGCCGCGUGAAGGAUGAAGUAUUUCGGUAUGUAAACUUCGAAAGAAUAGGAAGAAUAAAUGACGGUACUAUUUAUAAGGUCCGGCUAACUACGUGCCAGCAGCCGCGGUAAUACGUAGGGACCAAGCGUUGUUCGGAUUUACUGGGCGUAAAGGGCGCGUAGGCGGCAAUUCAAGUCAUCUGUGAAAUCUCCGGGCUUAACUCGGAACGGUCAGAUGAUACUGCUUUGCUAGAGUGCAGAAGGGGCAAUCGGAAUUCUUGGUGUAGCGGUGAAAUGCGUAGAUAUCGGAAGGAACAUCGGUGGCGAAGGCGUCUACCUGGCCUAAUACUGACACUGAGGCACGAAAGCGUGGGGAGCAAACAGGAUUAGAUACCCCAGUAGUCCCUGAGCGGGCUGGCAAGGCGCAU